GAUGAACGCUGGCGGCGUGCUUAACACAUGGCAAGGUCGAACGGACUUAUUUUAUGAAGCUUGCUUCGCGAGAUAAGUUAGUGGCGGACGGGUGAGUAACGCGUGGGUAACCUGCCGUAUGCUGGGGACAACAGUUGGAAACGACUGCUAAUACCGCAUAAGCGCACAGUACCGCAUGGUAAUGUGUGAAAAACUCCGGUGGCAUACGAUGAACCCGCGUCUGAUUAGCUAGUUGGUGAGGUAACGGCCCACCAAGGCGACGAUCAGUAGCCGGCCUGAGAGGAUGAACGGCCACAUUGGGACUGAGAUACGGCCCAGACUCCUACGGGAGGCAGCAGUGGGGAAUAUUGGGCAAUGGGGGAAACCCUGACCCAGCAACGCCGCGUGAAGGAAGAAGGCCUUCGGGUUGUAAACUUCAGUCAACAGGGAAGAACAAAUGACGGUACCUGUGGAGGAAGCCACGGCUAACUACGUG
rnacentral:rRNA from 1 species